rnacentral:rRNA from 1 species
CUGAAACCGUGUACGUACAAGCAGUGGGAGCACCCUUUGGGUGUGACUGCGUACCUUUUGUAUAAUGGGUCAGCGACUUAUAUUCUGUAGCAAGGUUAACCGAAUAGGGGAGCCGGAGGGAAACCGAGUCUUAACCGGGCGUUAAGUUGCAGGGUAUAGACCCGAAACCCGGUGAUCUAGCCAUGGGCAGGUUGAAGGUUGGGUAACACUAACUGGAGGACCGAACCGACUAAUGUUGAAAAAUUAGCGGAUGACCUGUGGCUGGGGGUGAAAGGCCAAUCAAACCGGGAGAUAGCUGGUUCUCCCCGAAAGCUAUUUAGGUAGCGCCUCGUGAAUUCAUCUCCGGGGGUAGAGCACUGUUUCGGCUAGGGGGCCAUCCCGGCUUACCAACCCGAUGCAAACUGCGAAUACCGGAGAAUGUUAUCACGGGAGACACACGGCGGGUGCUAACGUCCGUCGUGAAGAGGGAAACAACCCAGACCGCCAGCUAAGGUCCCAAAGUCAUGGUUAAGUGGGAAACGAUGUGGGAAGGCCCAGACAGCCAGGAUGUUGGCUUAGAAGCAGCCAUCAUUUAAAGAAAGCGUAAUAGCUCACUGGUCGAGUCGGCCUGCGCGGAAGAUGUAACGGGGCUAAACCAUGCACCGAAGCUGCGGCAGCGACACUGUGUGUUGUUGGGUAGGGGAGCGUUCUGUA